UACGGAGGGUGCGAGCGUUGUCCGGAAUCACUGGGCGUAAAGGGCGCGUAGGCGGCUCAUGAAGGCUGUGGUGAAAGUCCGGGGCUCAACCUCGGAUCGGCCGUGGCGACUCGUGGGCUGGAGCACUGUAGAGGCGGGUGGAAUUCCGGGUGUAGCGGUGGAAUGCGUAGAGAUCCGGAAGAACACCAGUGGCGAAGGCGGCCCGCUGGGCAGUGGCUGACGCUGAAGCGCGACAGCGUGGGGAGCAAGCAGG
rnacentral:rRNA from 1 species